UGCCAGCCGCCGCGGUAAUACGAAGGGUGCUAGCGUUGUUCGGAAUUACUGGGCGUAAAGAGCAUGUAGGCGGAUGAAUUAGUCAGAGGUGAAAGCCCCGAGCUCAACUUGGGAACUGCCUUUGAUACUGUUUAUCUAGAGUCCGAGAGAGGUUAGUGGAAUUCCCAGUGUAGAGGUGAAAUUCGUAGAUCUCAAGAGGAACACCGAUGGCGAAGGCAGCUUCUUGGUCCAUUUCUGACGCUCAGGUACGAAAGCGUGGGGAGCAAACAGGAUUAGAUA
rnacentral:rRNA from 1 species